AUACCUACGGUACGCAGCAGUGAGGAAUAUUGGUCAAUGGGCGCGAGCCUGAACCAGCCAAGUAGCGUGAAGGAUGACUGCCCUACGGGUUGUAAACUUCUUUUAUAAAGGAAUAAAGUGAGGCACGUAUGCCUUUUUGUAUGUACUUUAUGAAUAAGGAUCGGCUAACUCCGUGCCAGCAGCCGCGGUAAUACGGAGGAUCCGAGCGUUAUCCGGAUUUAUUGGGUUUAAAGGGAGCGUAGAUGGGUUGUUAAGUCAGUUGUGAUCGUUUGCGGCUCAACCGUAAAGUUGCAAUUGAUA
rnacentral:rRNA from 1 species